rnacentral:rRNA from 1 species
AUGCCCAAGGAUAAAGCCCCUGGCCGAGGCGGCUUCACGGGCGCCUUUUUCAAGGCCUGUUGGGAAACGAUCAAGGCAGACCUCAUGGCCGUAGUAAACGGUUUCUCAAACCUCCGGACAGAGCACUUCCAGUGGGUCAACACGGCAAACAUUGUGCUCAUCCCAAAAAAGGAUGGGGCGGAAUGCAUCUCAGAUUUUAGGCCAAUUAGCCUCAUUCACGCUGUGGCAAAGAUGAUGGCUUCCCGACUUGCCCCUUUCAUGCAUACGCUCAUCUCCCGCUCCCAGACUGCUUUCAUCAAAUCUAGAAGCAUCCAUGAUAAUUUCAUGUAUGUGCGCAACAUGGCGAGAAGGAUGCACCGUCUCAAGAAGCCUACGCUCCUGUUUAAGUUGGACAUCAGAAAUGCCUUCGACUCUGUGCGGUGGGACUACCUGUUGGAGCUUUUGCGCCGCCGCGGCUUCCCGACGCGUUUCAGAGAUAUGUUGGCCGCUCUUCUUCACACGCCAGCUUAA